AGGCCGGAAUAGCUCAGUUGGUAGAGCAGAGGACUGAAAAUC
rnacentral:tRNA from 4 species